rnacentral:tRNA from 1 species
GCCUCUAUAGCUCAGGGGUUUAGAGCGACUGCCUUGUAAGCAGUAGGUCGGGGGUUCGAAUCCCCCUAGAGGCU